GCAAGGGGAGCAACGGAUACCAAUUUUUGAAGAGUUUGAGAAGCCGGGACUCGAUAACGAGAGAGCAGAACAAAUUUAUGAAAAAUGGGCUGAAAAUUAUGAUAAGGAUAUGGCAACUCUAAAUUACACUCAACCAAGUGUCUGCGCAGCCGAAAUAGAGAAAUGUUUAAAAGACAACAAAGACGCGCUUAUUUUGGAGGCCGCCUGUGGGACCGGUUUAGGGGGCAUAGAGCUGGCAAAGCGCGGUUUCCACAACCUCCAUGCCUUUGACAUGUCUAGUAAAAUGCUUGACGUUGCCAAGCAGAAGAAUAUCUAUAAAAA